rnacentral:sRNA from 1 species
CUCAAGGUCACCCAAAAAGCAAUGGAG